rnacentral:rRNA from 1 species
GGCUCACCCGUUCCCAUUCCGAACACGGAAGUUAAGCCCUCCAGCGCCGAUGGUACUGCGACAAGCGGGAGAGUAGGCCGCCGCCAGUU